GCAAGUCGAACGGUAACAUUUCCAGCUUGCUGUAAGAUGACGAGUGGCGGACGGGUGAGUAAUACUUAGGAAUAUGCCUUUGAGUGGGGGAUAACUAUUGGAAACGCUAGCUAAUACCGCAUAAUGUUUUCGGACCAAAGAGGGCUUUUAGCUCUCGCGCAAAGAGUAGCCUAAGCGAGAUUAGCUAGUUGGUGUGGUAAGGGCGCACCAAGGCGACGAUCUCUAGCUGUUCUGAGAGGAAGAUC
rnacentral:rRNA from 1 species